rnacentral:lncRNA from 1 species
UGUAGAGUGGAACACAGGUUCUGGAUCAAAUGGGAUUGAUGCCGGCGCAGAGUGGAGUGACGGUAUUGGUCUUGUGCAAUUUUAAUUCACUGUUUGGUUGUUAGGGACGCUGAAUGGGUUGGUGCCCCCGCGGUACUGUAUAGGGGUAUUUUCUGUAUGGACCUUAAAGUCUUAUAUGGGCCAGGCUAGGGUUAGUAUAAAUAAUAUAUUGUAACCCUAGUUUUAACAACUGAAAAAAGAAGUCUUUGCUUCGCUCUCGUGGACGUAGGCAAACCACCGAACCACGUAAAAUUCUUGUGUUGAUUUUCGUUUUUCAUCUCUUUAAUAUUGCGCAUAAAAUCCAACAGUUCCUUUGAUAUUUUUCUUGUGUAUUCUUUAUUGAAUUUCUUCCCAUUGUGUAUAUGUUUUUUGAUUUCUGCAGAUGUAGUGUUGAAUAUGGGAUUUUUCCCCUUUUUCGUUUGAUCUUUUGGGAGAUCAAACCCAAAAUACCUAUUACGCAACGAGAGUGGAGAAGAUUGAGGCUGACCCAAGUAGAGAUCUGAUUGAUUUCCAGGUACACCAUUUUUAAUUUGCUUUUGAGGAUCACGUUCGAAUAGUUGAAUCAGACCAUACUUCAUCUUUAGUAACUUGUUAGUUGAGUUGUCAUCUGUGUAAAAACUACCUUUGAAUUGUAAUAAAUGUAAAUGAUGCUUCAAAUUGAUCAUAAUUCUUAGUGAACUUGUUGUCUUCUAUCGGGUUAUAAGAAUGUGAUUUCUUGAUGUUUUCAUGUGGCAGAACAUGCUAGAUUAUAUGGGAAAAAUUGUGAGUACCUUGUUUGAAUUGAGCUUUAACUUUAUUUUGAAGAUCUUUGCUGUGGUUGAAUUCAAGAUGGUUAGAAUUUUGUGUUAUGUUAUAAAUGCAUCUAUUUGGUUGCAACUUGCAAGUUAUAUAAAAUUUGUUUCAGUCCCCUCUCGAUGAAAGAAAUGAACUUUACAAUUUCCUUUUUGGCUGACAUUAGACCACGG